rnacentral:rRNA from 1 species
AUUGAACGCUGGCGGCAUGCUUUACACAUGCAAGUCGAACGGCAGCACGGGGGCAACCCUGGUGGCGAGUGGCGCACGGGUGAGUAAUACAUCGGAACGUGCCCGGCCGUGGGGGAUAACGUAGCGAAAGUUACGCUAAUACCGCAUACGAUCUGAGGAUGAAAGCGGGGGACCUUCGGGCCUCGCGGGAUGGGGGCGGCCGAUGUCAGACUGGGUAGUUGGUGGGGUAAGGGCCUACCAAGCCGACGAUCUGUAGCUGGACGGAGAGGACGAGAAGCCACACUGGGACGGAGACACGGCCCAGACUCCUACGGGAGGCAGCAGUGGGGAAUGUUGGACAAUGGGCGCAAGCCUGAUCCAGCCAUCCCGCGUGCAGGACGAAGGCGUUCGGUGUGUAAACUGCUUUUGAAUGGAACGAAAAGGCUCUGGCUAAUACCUGGGGCUCAUGACGGUACCGGAAGAAUAAGCACCGGCUAACUACGUG